rnacentral:ncRNA from 2 species
CUCUGGAGAGAGCAUACCAGCCACCCAAGGAGUACAACCGAUACGAUUCGGUCCAAACUCUCAGGUAACGAGGACAGAG